rnacentral:rRNA from 1 species
ACGCUCGACACCUACGGGGGGCAGCAGUGGGGAAUAUUGCACAAUGGGGGAAACCCGUGAUGCAGCGACGCCGCGUGGAGGAAGAAGGUCUUCGGAUUGUAAACUCCUGUUGUUGGGGAAAAGAGGAUGGUACCCAACAAGGAAGUGACGGCUAACUACGUGUCAGCAGCCGCGGUAAUCUGAGCGGGCUGGCAAGGC